rnacentral:misc_RNA from 1 species
UUAAGGAGAGAUAUAAGAUAGAAGAU